AUGGAAAAAGUAAUGGAGUCUGGAGGAGAAAUGAAAAGAACUUUAAUAUACGAAAAAGAAGAUGUUGAAGUCUCCCAGCUAAGGGAACAAAACACAACAGGGCACAGAAAUUCAACUGUAUUCAGGGAAUGGGUUGGGAUUUCUAGGUCUCUGGACCAAGUGGCAAGGGGAGGUGACUAGGAGAUGAAUCUGGAGAAUUAGGUUUGGAAAAUUUUGAAUGUUUUUAGGUACUGUGAUAGAAUGCAAAAGUAGUCAGAAAUUAUUCUCACCCCUUUAUGCAUACAACUUGCCCACCCCCUUUCAAAUAGACUUUUUUUUUCUAAAAGCAUUUUAGAUUUAUAAAAAGUUGUGCAGAAAGUACAAAGAUUUCUCAGGUGCUCCCUCUCCUCCCCCUACAUUCUGACACACGUGGUUUCUCCUAUUAUGAUUUUAUAUUAGUGUCAUACAUUUGUCACAACUCAUGAACCAAUAUUGGCACAUUAUUACUACCUAAAGUCCAUAGUUGGCAUUAAGGCUCAUGCUGCGUCACAUAUCCUAUGGGUGUUGAUAAAUGUAUGUCAUGUGUCCACCAUUAAAGUAUCAGAAGGAAUAGUUUCACUGCCCUAAAAAUUCCCUGUGUUUCACCUAUUCAUCCCUCCCUUCUUCCCUCAAACCUCUGGCCUUCAUUCAUCUUUUACUGUCUUAUAGUUUUGUCUUUUCAAGAAUGCUAUAUAAUCGGCUGGGUACGGUGGCUCACACCUGUAAUCCCAGCAUUUUGGGAGGCCGAAGCAGGCAGAUCACGAGGUCAGGAGAUCCCCAUCUCUACUAAAAAUACAAAAAAAUUAGCUAGGUGUGGUGGUGCACCUGUAAGCCCAGCUAUUUGGGAGGCCGAGGCAGGAGAAUCGUUUGAACCUGGGAGGUGGAGCGUGCAGUGAGCCUAGAUUAUGUCACUGCACUCCAGUCUGGCAACAGAGUGAGACUUCGUCUCAAAAAAAAAAAAAAGUGAUCUAAUCGAAAUCACACAACAUAUGAAGCCUUUUCAGAUUGGCUCCUUUUACUUAGUGAAAUGCACUGAAGCAUUUAAGAGCCUUCCAUGUUGGCCAGACGCAGUGGCUCACACCUAAAAUCCCAGCACUUUGGGACGCUGAGGCAGUCGGAUCACUUGAGGCCAGGUAUUCGAGAUCAGUCUUGCCAAAAUGAUAAAACCCUGUCUCUACUAAAAAUACAAAAUUAGCCAGGUGUGGUGGCACGCACCUGUAGUCCCAGCUACUCGGGAGGCUGAGGCACAAGAAUUGCUUGAACCCGAGACAAGGAGAUUGUAGUGAGCUGAGAUUGGCCACCACAUUCUAGCCUGGGUGACACAGCGAGACUUUGUCUCAAAAAAAAAAAAAAAAAAAAAAAAAAAGAGUCCUCCAUGUCUUUUCAUGGUGUGUGAUAGCUCAUUUCUUUUUAUUGUUAAGUAAUAUUCCAUUGCCUGGAUUUAUCACAGUUGUUUAUAUAUCCAUCUAUUGAGGAAUAUCUUGGUUGCUUCAAAUUUUCGGUAAUUAUGAAUAAAACUGCUAUCAGUAUUCAUGCACACCUCUUUUUAAUGUGACUUUGCAGCUCUCCUCAGCAACAUACGAUAUCUGUUUCUCUACCCCUUGAAGUCAGGCUUCACCAUUUGAUUAAUUUGGGUCUGUGGCUCACUAGGAAGCGUGAAGAAUGAACAGGGGGACUUUGCCUGCUUGCUGCUCUUGGAACCCUGCCACAAUUAUGCGAAGCCUGGGCUAGUAUGCUUGUUGAUGAGACACAAGACCCAACUAUUCCUGGUAGUCCUGGCUGACAGCCAAUGAGACCACUCUAAGCUAUUCAGUCACAGACUGACCUGCAAGUUGGCUUCAAAUGCAUGAAAGACUGAUAGAAAUCAGCAAAGCAGGCUCAGACCAGAAGAACCACCCAGUUGACCCAAGAUUCUCUCGUC
ensembl:lncRNA